GCUGCCGCGGGGAGUUGCUUCACACGGGAGCGGUUCCCCUGUAACGGCCGUGUGCUGUGGGGACAGCCCUCCCUGCCCUCCUCCCCCAGGCAGCGGUGACAUUCCCUCUCCCAGGCAAGUGCCAAGCCCCACCAAGCACCUGGGGCUGUGCUGGGACCCCCGGGAGGAGCCGUUUCAUCAGGACCAGGGCUUUCGCACGCGAGAGCAGAGCCCCCGGCCAGAGCCACACUGAGACAGGCAGACGUGGUUCGCCCCCAGGGAAGGGGCAGCACCUCCAGACAGCAUCUGCCUGCAAUCCCAGCGAACCUCGUCCGGGUUCAGCUCUAGAGCAAGGCGCAGAGGAGUAACUCCUGCCACUUAAGCAACUUCGCACAAUCGUCUGUAAUGGCAGAGCCAUCAGUGCUGCUUCCCCAUUCCUGCUUUGUCAUGCAGGGUCGAAUGGGAGUACUCCAGCAUGAGGCAAAGACCACUGACACUGUACAUUUAAUUCAACUUACAAAAGGCUGGGUGUUAAAAGGAAAACGAAAAAAAUAAUCCCACAAAAAUCUUCCAGGUCUGUUUUGUCCCAGUUUUAAACGGUAAAAUCUGUACUUUGUUCUCAGCUAUUGUUGCAAAAUUGAACCACUUUCAGCCUCUCACCUUAAAGGCUGCCUUCACGCAGAGCUACUGAGUACAGCAUGGAAUGAAAGCUCUCACUUGGCCUAGAAACCUCAAGUGUGUGAACCUCACUAAAACGCACACAGGGAGAUGGGCUUUGAAAUGGAGCAAAGCCAGAAGCCAGCAAGUCCCCACAGGAUGCCGUGUGGCUGCUCCCAAGAUGAGGAGUGCAACUCCAGCUGAGAGACACUCUGUACCUCAUCCCAGCAGCUGGCUCCUGCCUGGCCCCACUGCCCCUUGGCUCCUCAGCACCAGGGCCUGACUUGAGGACCUGCAGCACCCUUGUCUGAUGAGCGUUGAGGUUUGCUUGGCUGGGAUGGAGGGAAAACAUCCUCUCCUGGGAUGGAGAGAAAACAUCUUUGGUCCUGCAAACAUUGUAGGCACAUUAGCCUCCCCCAGGGCUUGCCUCCCUGAGCAAGUCCAGCAUGCAGAGCUGUCAGUUUUCCUUUCUUUUUGGAGAUGUGACCAUGGGAGGGGACUGAGCUCUGUCACCUGCUCCAGCUGGGACGAUACCAGUGCUCGGCAAGAACAUCCUGACAAUGUCAGCUUGUGCCCUCCUGGUGUCACCUUGUCCUGCUCAGCCAUGGGCUGCACACCCUACUGAACUCUGCAGGGCCAGGGAUGCUCCAGCAAUGAGACCUGAGGCUACUCCAGCCCCAUUCCCAGCCCUCUACCAUCCCAUACCCUGUUGCUGCUUCCACUCCUCUGAGAUGGCUGUGGAGUGCUGCCCCCAAGCCCUCCUGGGUCCUCCUACACCCAGUGCCAGGAGGCUGCUGGAGAAGCCCUGACGCUAGCCAGGAGCGAGGUGGUCACUCGGUCCUGGAUUUGGGACAGCAAAGGUAACUGCAAUCUGCCAAGUUCCUCCUGCCACCCAGACAGAUCCCUGCUCUUGGCUGCUGUGCAGGAG